AGAGUUUGAUCAUGGCUCAGAACGAACGCUGGCGGCGUGCUUAACACAUGCAAGUCGAGUGCGCGCCUGUAGCAAUACAGGUGGCGCACGGCGCACGGGUGCGUAACACGUGGGUAACCUGCCCUUUGGUGGGGAAUAACUCCGCGAAAGCGAAGCUAAUUCCGCAUAAGAUCCGCAAGGAUGAAAGCCGAAAGGCGCCGAUGGAGGGGCCCGCGCACGAUUAGCUAGUUGGUAGGGUAAUGGCCUACCAAGGCUUUGAUCGUUAGCUGGUCUGAGAGGAUGGCCAGCCACACUGGAACUGAGACACGGUCCAGACUCCUACGGGAGGCAGCAGUGGGGAAUCUUGCACAAUGGGCGAAAGCCUGAUGCAGCGACGCCGCGUGGGGGAUGAAGCUUCUCGGAGUGUAAACCCCUUUCGAUCCGGACGAAUGCCCGCAAGGGAUUGACGGUACGGAUAGAAGAAGCCCCGGCUAACUACGUGCCAGCAGCCGCGGUAAGACGUAGGGGGCCAGCGUUGUUCGGAAUUACUGGGUGUAAAGGGUUCGUAGGCGGUGUGGCAAGUCGGGAGUGAAAUUUCUGGGCUUAACUCAGAACCUGCUUCCGAAACUGCUGUGCUCGAGUGUGGGAGAGGCGCGUGGAAUUGCAGGUGUAGCGGUGAAAUGCGUAGAUAUCUGCAGGAACACCCGUGGCGAAAGCGGCGCGCUGGACCACUACUGACGCUGAGGAACGAAAGCUAGGGGAGCAAACAGGAUUAGAUACCCUAGUAGUCC
rnacentral:rRNA from 1 species